rnacentral:lncRNA from 1 species
AAUGUCCGCUAGCACGUCGAUCGGUUAAUUCAAUAAAAUGGGAAUUAGCACUCGAUUUCGUCGGCACCAUGCAAUUAAACCAAUCCAAUUGUUUACUUAUUCAAUGAGACUGAGUUAAUUUGCAAGCUCACCCAACCUAUUUUAAUUUCAAAAUCUCAAGUGGAUGAAUCAGAAUCUUGAGAAAGUCUUUCAUUUGUCUAUCAUUAUAGACAAGCCCAUCCAUAUUAU